rnacentral:rRNA from 1 species
UACGGGGGGGGCAAGCGUUGUUCGGAAUUACUGGGCGUAAAGGGCUCGUAGGCGGCCAACUAAGUCGGAUGUGAAAUCCCCAGGCUUAACCUGGGAACUGCAUCCGAUACUGGAUGGCUUGAAUCCGGGAGAGGGAUGCGGAAUUCCAGGUGUAGCGGUGAAAUGCGUAGAUAUCUGGAGGAACACCGGUGGCGAAAGGCGGCAUCCUGGACCGGCAUUGACGCUGAGGAGCGAAAGCCAGGGGAGCAAACGGG